UGCCUCCAGCAGCCAUGCCUUCCCUCCAAGACUCACCCCCUACAGCUGUUAGCAAUGGCCCAUCAGGUGCAGGAGACACACCUGAUGGCUCUGCCCACAGCUGUUCCUAACAGCCUCAGGUUAUAACAGCCUGAGCCAGCUCCUCAGCAGCUCUUUGGACACUGCAGUACGUGUGGAGUUCUUCAGAUGCAAGCAGCAGCAGAUGGAGCAUGGUGGCUGAGGUUAGUGGUGAGGGGAAGGAGUGGGUUCUGAGCUUUGGUCCCAUCUUCGGUUUCAGAUGGGCUUUGUGCUUCUCUCUUGAUAAGUGGAGGCUGAAUCCUGCUUUCUUGGGGCUUGAAAGCAGGUUUGCUGUGCUGAUUUGCAGGCUUGAGAGAUGGGGGUAAGUGCUGUGCUUGUAGGACUUGGAUUACCCUUGUCUGGUUUGGGGGUUAGGAAAUACUGGCUUCAAAAAGGCUCCUUUAACAGCUCACAACAUGGAUUAAGUAACGUGUUUUGGAGGCUCAGAACCUAGCUUGUUUGGUAGAUGUUGGGGCUCAAACUGCAGGCUGAGUUAUGUGCUCUUCAGUCUUUAUACAGGGCUCAUUGGGUGCUAGAAAUGAAGGUCGAGUGCUGUGUUUUUAGGGCUCAGAAGGUUCAUUUGUCCAGUUUGGGGCUGAGGUGGAAACAAAAGGAAAGCCACACGUUAACAGCUUCGGGGCACUAGUAACAUAUGGAGGCGAGAAGGUCGAGCCCUCAAAAUGGCCGCAACGCUGGCUCACGACGCCGGCGCCAUCUGGUGGCUGCUUUGGGAACUACAGCGCCGCCGAUGCCUCGUGAUUUUCUAGAAGCUUCGGAGGUAACAGCCAGCUUGUGGCAAGGCUUGGGCGUGAGGGUGGAUGUGUGCUGGUCAAUGAAGUACUAUGUAUGCUCUACUGAAAGCACUUAGGUGCAUUGUGUCCUUAGAGAUGAGACUGGCAUGCAGCACUAGCGAGGAGAACACACCCAGCAGUUUUAGUGGCGAGAGCUUCCGAGUUUCUCACGAGUCAAAAGGAGGUUGGGAAGACCAAGAAGUACUCCAGUCCAACCUUCUCUUUUGCAUACAGAGGCAGACAACUAGAUCCAGGUGUCUACCCUGAGGUGA